UAAAAUUCUUUCAAACGAUUUUUAAAAAUGGGCAGGGAUUUCGAACUCCGAAUAUUCUUGGGGAGGUCAUUCCACAGUUGUACUGCAUAUACCGUAAAGGACCUCCCGGAGAAUUUUGUGUAAUUUCUUGGGGUUUGGAGCUUGUUAUCCGAGCAAGAGCGCAACUUCAUGUGGCGAUCAGCAGCACCGAGGAAAGUGAAGCGAUCUUUAAGGUAGGGAGGAGUGUGAGGCUCAUAGAGAAUAGAAAAGAGUAGAAUGAGGACGUGGAAAUUUCGUCGCCGUCUAAUUGGCAACCACUUGAGACGAGAACGGUAUUCGCUGACAUGGUCAAAUUUUCUCAAGCCAAAGACAAAUCGAAUGCAAAGAUUUUGCAACCGUUCCAGCUUGUUUAGUAACUCCUCAUUCAAAUCCGUAUAGCUGCUAUCGGCAUAAUCAAGAAUGGGUAAGAGCAGAGAUUCAGCCAAGGAUAUUUUUGUUUUGAUUGGGAGGAGAUUCUUCCAUCUUUUAAGGGAGCCGACAGCAGCGAAAAGGCGUCUGCUUACAUAAUUGAUAUGCGGAAUCCAGGAGAAUGACGAGUCAAUAAACAAGCCGAGAUUCUUGACAGUAUGACUGAAUGGCAAUGUCGAGUUAUUCAGCACAAUCGAACCUACUGAAUUGGGAUCGAUUUUACAGGUUAGAUUAGAAUAUAAUAUAU